AGAGUUUGAUCAUGGCUCAGGACGAACGCUGGCGGCGCGCCUAACACAUGCAAGUCGAACGAAGAUUUUAGGAGCUUGCUUUUGAAAUCUUAGUGGCGGACGGGUGAGUAACGCGUGAGUAACCUGCCUUUCAGAGGGGGAUAACGGCUGGAAACGGCCGCUAAUACCGCAUGACAUAUUGAGACCGCAUGGUCUUGAUAUCAAAGGAGCAAUCCGCUGAAAGAUGGACUCGCGUCCAAUUAGCUAGUUGGCGGGGUAAAGGCCCACCAAGGCGACGAUUGGUAGCCGGACUGAGAGGUUGAACGGCCACAUUGGGACUGAGACACGGCCCAG
rnacentral:rRNA from 1 species